AUGAUCAGACUUGAGGUUGUGGCUGCUUUUGUCAUCCUGGCAGUUAUCUGGCCUGGUACCGAGUGUCAAACACUGACUGAGUCUGAAUCAGUGGUCAAAAGGCCUGCUGAGUCCCACAGACUGACCUGCACAUAUUCUGGGUUUAGUGGCACUCCUUGGUUUGCUUGGGUCAGACAGCCAUCUGGAAAAGGACUGGAGUGGGUUUCUGGUAUCAGUGACACUGGUGGCAGCACCUACUAUCCUCAGUCAUUGAGAGGUCGGGUCACCAUCUCCAGAGACAACAGCAGAAGUCAGGUGUAUCUGCAGAUGAACAGUUUGUCAGCGGAGGACUCUGCUGUUUAUUAUUGCGCUUGA